UAGGGAAUAUUGGUCAAUGGAUGGAAGUCUGAACCAGCCAUGCCGCGUGCAGGAAGAAGGCCUUCUGGGUUGUAAACUGCUUUUGCCAGGGGAUAAAAUGCUCGUGCGCGAGUAAUUGAAGGUACCUGGUGAAUAAGCCACGACUAACUACGUGCCAGCAGCCGCGGUAAUACGUAGGUGGCAAGCGUUGUCCGGAUUUAUUGGGUUUAAAGGGUGCGUAGGCGGUCUAUUAAGUCAGUGGUGAAAUAUGGCAGCUUAACUGUCAGGGUGCCAUUGAUACUGAUGGACUUGAGUGAAGUCGAAGUAGGCGGAAUUGACGGUGUAGCGGUGAAAUGCUUAGAUAUCGUCAAGAACACCGAUAGUGAAGACAGCUUACUAGGCUUAUACUGACGCUGAGGCACGAAAGUGUGGGGAUCAAA
rnacentral:rRNA from 1 species